rnacentral:rRNA from 1 species
GUGCCAGCAGCCGCGGUAAUACGGAGGGUGCGAGCGUUAAUCGGAAUUACUGGGCGUAAAGCGCGCGUAGGUGGCUUGAUAAGCCGGUUGUGAAAGCCCCGGGCUCAACCUGGGAACGGCAUCCGGAACUGUCAAGCUAGAGUGCAGGAGAGGAAGGUAGAAUUCCCGGUGUAGCGGUGAAAUGCGUAGAGAUCGGGAGGAAUACCAGUGGCGAAGGCGGCCUUCUGGACUGACACUGACACUGAGGUGCGAAAGCGUGGGUAGCAAACAGGAUUAGAUACCCUGGUAGUCCACGCCGUAAACGAUGUCGACCAGCCGUUGGGUGCCUAGCGCACUUUGUGGCGAAGUUAACGCGAUAAGUCGACCGCCUGGGGAGUACGGCCGCAAGGUUAAAACUCAAAUGAAUUGACGGGGGCCCGCACAAGCGGUGGAGCAUGUGGUUUAAUUCGAUGCAACGCGAAGAACCUUACCUACUCUUGACAUCCUGCGAACUUGUGAGAGAUCACUUGGUGCCUUCGGGAACGCAGAGACAGGUGCUGCAUGGCUGUCGUCAGCUCGUGUUGUGAAAUGUUGGGUUAAGUCCCGUAACGAGCGCAACCCUUGUCCUUAUUUGCCAGCGCGUAAAGGCGGGAACUCUAAGGAGACUGCCGGUGACAAACCGGAGGAAGGUGGGGACGACGUCAAGUCAUCAUGGCCCUUACGAGUAGGGCUACACACGUGCUACAAUGGUCGGUACAAAGGGUUGCCAACUCGCGAGAGUGAGCCAAUCCCGAAAAGCCGAUCUCAGUCCGGAUCGGAGUCUGCAACUCGACUCCGUGAAGUCGGAAUCGCUAGUAAUCGUGGAUCAGAAUGCCACGGUGAAUACGUUCCCGGGCCUUGUACACACCGCCCGUCACACCAUGGGAGUGGACUGCACCAGAAGUGGUUAGCCUAACGCAAGAGGGCGAUCA